CACAGACACACAGACACACAGACAGACAUACAUGUGUCAUACGUGAGUCUUUACCCUUCUUUUACUUACAGCUGUCUCUUUAAGAAGAUUCCGACAGGUGACCGUGCCUUUCCUCUCCAGACAGUUGUAUAGAACGUCUCUGUACGCUGUAGCGUUACAAUUUCCAUAAGAACCAAGAAUCCCAAACACUGUUCCAGCACGACACAACAUGCACAAAAAGUGUGAGCUCCAUGAAGACACGGUGUGGUAGAAGGUAGAAGAACUCAAGUGUCCUGUACAGAACCCUGACUUCAACCCCUCGGAUGAACUGGAACUGGAGUCUCCUCACAUCAACAUCAGCGCCUGACCUCAACCCCACUAAUGCUCUUGUAGCUGAACGAACACAAAUCCCCACAGCCACGCCCCAAAAUCUAGUGCAAAGCCUUCACAGAAGAGUGGAGCACAUUAUUACAAUCAUUUUGUAUGACAGGGUGGAAUGUGUAUGAAUGGAACAUGUCAAGAUAGAACAUUAAAAAUAUAUUUCAAAAAUGAUGAGUGACUUCACCAGCUUAUGAAUGUUAGAGUAGUACUUUAGUAAAUACUCUCACUUUAUCUCAACACAAUAAAUACAUGAAAUACGACUUAAACGUACCUUUUUAUUUAACUGAAUUGUAAAGAAACAAAUCCGUGAAAUU
ensembl:lncRNA